CCUCCAACCAUUAUAGGGGUCCAAUAAUGCCCAAUCCGAAUACCUACAAAACACGAAAAUAGUUAGAGAGAAAAGUUGAGAGGAGAUCAAAGGAGCCAUCGCGAAAUCUCGUCGGACCACCACCUGAAUCCACCUUCAGUCGAGACCUAAACACAAGAACUCCCUGCUUGGAAGGACAGAUGGGCUCGCAAGGCCAACGCUCCUUCAAGAUCUGAUAGUUUGCGAGGAGAGAGGAAUUUUUCCGAUAGCCAUGUGUCGACCGGCAACUGGUGAAGCGCGGCUUGGCAAGGCGGGGACACGACUCAGGUGUCGACUGGAGCUACGCGUUGGAUGUCGGGUGGAGCAACACAGACACGUGUCGUCUGCAAACCCGCAACCGCAAACCGACCUAUAACCAUCAGCUCAAACCAACCCGCUGUCCUACUGAGUGAACCGAGUCACCUACCCAAAUGGCUACCAAAUCGGACCGCUGACCUGCGACUGCACAGAAUCAACCCGCGCGUGCCACCUGCAACUAGGACCUUCCCCAGCGUGUGAGGGUGUGUGUAAGGCCAUAUAAUGACACCAAAGAGACGCAGAUCCUAUAUUGGGCCUAGACUCAGAAAGGAAAAAAAAGAGUUGCAUAGGACACUGUUAGGUGGAACAAAUUGAACCUCAAGAGGAAGUUAGAGAUGUGUCCCCAAGCAAGUGAGAGAACUGUACCACGGGUUCCAAGAAUUGGAAUGGGCCAUAGGGGAGUGGUGAACCAAGACAAAUCUGACCCAGACUCUACUGCUCCCCUCCCAGAGGCAGUCACGCUCACAUGGGAUGUACUACCAACAUUCAUGUUAAUCUCAAUGGAAAAUCAGACUCUAAUGACCUAAAUGAUGCAGACACUGAUGGCUAAUCAGACAUCAGUGCAAGGGACUAGAGACUUAGGGACUAUGACGGUGGAAUCCCAUUACUUGAAAGCUUUCCAAAGAUAUAAACUAUCUUCCUUUUACGGUGGCAAGGUAGAUCCUAUUGUAGUAGAUGUUAAAUAAAAAGCUAUGGUUUUUUCUCUAUUUAGGUUAUUCGUUGAUUUUUUUUUUAAGGUAAGAGCCUAUUUUUAGGUGCCAUUUGAG